CUCGCGGGCUGCAAAACCCGACCCCGCCUCCUCACCUGUCAGACAGCAAGAGUUGGCAACGGACCGGAAGUGUCCCCGCCCCUGGACCAAGUCCAUCCCCCUACCAACUUCCGUGACGCUCUAGGAAGUCUGGGGGUACUGGGGACCUUUGUAGCCCGUCAGCUGGAACUGAUCCCGAAGGACAGCUCCUGCCACCUUCCCUUCACGCCCCGCCCCCACAAUCCCUCCCCAAAUCCCCAGAAGUAGAAGGCGGGGAGUUCAUUCCACUUAAGUCUCCACCAUUGUCUCUGGUAUUUGCUAGGUCUUUCUUUUGACUUGAUCCAGGUUUUCUUUCCACCCACUCCAGUCCUGAUAGCCUGUUUAGACAAAAUUGUCUAUGCUCAGUGAACCUCUUGGAUUCAGAGAAUAUUGGGAUAGCUGAUUUGGCUGAGGCAAUAAGCAGGAGGAAAAUGGGCAGAAGGCAGCUGAAUAGUGGGCCAGUCCAGAGAUGGAGAGCUCCAGAGUUAAGACCUUUGCCCAUGAGGAUAGUAGGAGACUGGGCAGAGCCCUGAGAAGUGUCAAAUUUCCCUACUCGACGACUGAAUCAGAAGGAAACAUCCCACCAGAAAAGAGAAACACAGAGGAUGAAGGCACAAAAAGAUAUAGAGACAGCCAGCUGGCGUGGGAAACAGCUUCAAGAGGUACAAUUCCUUGAACUGGAUUGCUGGUAAGGGACUCAGGAAAAGGCUUACAGUUUAGCAGGGGCUGGACAAUAGGGGACCCAGCCCUCAGAUGUGUUGAGUCUGCACCCACAUGGGUGCUGAGGCAUCCUGCUUCCUAAAAAGCAGAAUAAAGGACUUCAGAAUAUACAAGCUAUCCUGUAUUUCCUGUUGGCUCACUAUAUAUAAAGAGAGGCUUUUAAAUGGAUGCCCAACAGAACUCCAUGUGUUAAAAGGCACCAAUAAGCUUAAUAUAGUUUUCCUCAUUUCUGUUCACAGAUGUAUGGAUGACUUUUGAGUUCUAGAGGGCUAGUGAGGGAACUGUGAUUCUCCUCAACGCUCAACGGACUGACUUGUGAGCUCAUAGUCUCCUAGUGUAAGGGGUAAAAAUUAUGGUUGGACUGAAUAUUUGAGGGUUGGUUGCCAGGGAUUUAAUUACUAAAUCCCAAUUAAUUACUCAAGUCAGAAUGGUUUUUUUUUUUUGGUAGUUUAUUUACAAAUAGAAGAAAUUAAGGAAAUGAGAGAAAGAGAGAGGGAGAGAGAUAGAUGCUCUGACCUGUUCUGAACCAGGCAGGAAUUCAGAGGCCCCAACAAGGGGGGGUGGGGGAGGUGGCAGAGGAUAAAAUUUAACUUGGCUUCCAGUCACGAGGCCUCCUCCAAGAUGAGGGGCCUUUUCAGAGGCUAGUGCCUCCAGAAAAGCCAAGGAAAGGGAGUCAGCCUUUCACUCACCAUGUGACAGUCUAAAAGGAAGCAGUCUGAGAUAUCCAGCCUGAGUUCCUUCACAGUCAAGUUCCAAGGUGAAGACGCCUCACAGGAAGUGACCACAGAAUUUAAAGGCAGCUUUUGUGUCACUUCCUGUGCCUUACAUGUACCAAUGAUGGCUUAAACUUGGCUUUGGCCUGCCCAGGGGGCAGUCAGUUGUUUCUGAUUUGUCACUUGCUAGCACACAUGGGUCAUAGACCUUCCUCCCCCACACUAAAUCCUUAAGUGAGGGUGUAUAUAUUCCUGGUGGCUAAAAUUCUAAAGAAUAAGUAGAGUGGAGUUAAUCUCAAUUUCACACUAGACAAACCUUUAUCAAUGACAGGGACAACAAACUUCUAUUUAUAUCUUCUCUCUAUUGGUACAUGGCCUUUAAUGAGAAGUUAUGGGAUAUUCUGUGUCACAUGUGAGAGCCGACUUUGCCAUGGACUUUUAGAUACUUGUGAGAGUCUGCCUGUUAGAAUUAAAAUUAAUCUUGGAGACAUAGUAAUUUAUAAUUAUUAGUAAAAGAGAAAGAGAGAAAGAAAAAUAUCAUCAAGUCACCCUUAACUACCUUAGUCUACUGGCUGCACUGUGAAGUUUCAGUGGUAAGAGGGCCCAACCAGAUGGUCAGCCCAGAUAAGAGCCAAGAAAAAGGACCUGCUAUUGCUUGGCCCCAUCUUUUAUAUGGCCAGUGAUGUUACUCCUACUGGGUUCUCUAAUAGGACAGUCUGGGUCAUGAGUUUUGACCUCACCCUCCAAGCAAGGGCUACUGCCAGCUGGUUCAGGAAGUCAGGGCUUCAGUUUGCCAUUCUGUCUCCCUCCUCACAUGACUUGGCAUUCUUUCUUAAUGCUCAUAUGCCAGGUAAGGGACUAUAUUAUUAUGUUUCAUACAUGCCCCAGACUUUUGUGGGAAGAAAUGGUUUCUACCAAUUGUUUUUUAUUAUACCACCUUGGUAAAUACCUUUUGCUAAAAACCUAAUUCCUGUCUAUUGACUGAUUAAAUUGGAACAUAUACCAGUGGAAUGAUAUUAGAAACUCUAGCAACUUUCAGUUACUAGCAUACAUGCACACAUACAUGUUAGAUAUAAACAUAUAAACAUACAUACUGUGUGUGUAAUAUAUGUGACUUCUAGGUCAUGUGACCAAAAAGAUGAAGACAUAUAUAUCUAGGGUAGAGGCCUGGACUGGUAGAAUGCCCAGCAUGGUAGGAGCAAAAUGCUCUGAGAUCAAGCUCUCAGGGAAAUCACCACUAGAGGGAAGAGUGAGAAAGUGGGGAAUAGGGAAAAUUGAAGGGAGGAGUGCUAAAAUUACCAAAGAUCUUAGGAAGAAGAAAACUGAGACCUUUGUAAAGAUUAAAAUUUGGGGAAGCUGAGGCAGGUAGAAAUUAGUUUCUCUGCCAGGAGUAUAGUUUUUUUAGAGGUUUAUUAAAGGUUAAGGAUUAAAGAAAAUACAGAAUAAGAAAGCACGUGUCUAGGCCCAGAGAGGCCUAGACAACCUCACCUACAUUAUGAAAAAGACACGUCUGCUUGUUAGUGGCAACAGGAAAGCCCAGAGACCCCGCCGAAGGCAGAGACCCUUUAAAUAAUAAUUUGCUCUUGGCCCAGUUGAGAAUUCAGUGAGAUUACAAAGCAUUCUGGGGAAGUGGAGCAAGGACUUCUGGGGAUUGAAGUCCUGGAUUCAAGUCUCCAUUUUUAAACCUUGGACAUAAGCAGAUGUUAAUAGAAAGAAAGCAUUAAUCGCAGAAACAAAUAUGGAAAACAGAUCUAGUAAACAAAUUCAGGGACCAAUGAAGAAAUACUAAAAAACAAGAAAAGGGAAAAUGAUCUACAUUUUAUGAAACAGAUGUGAAUCUUGAAAUUUCUCAGACUUGUGAAUGUUAAAAAAAUUCCCCAUUGGGGAAUCUUUCAUUGGGACAAUUCCCUAUUAGGGACCAUUCCCCAUCUAAAAUGUGAAAACUCUACUUGGAUCAGAAAUGGGAGGACCUCUACUCCACCCAUACUUAGGACUGCUUUAGGGGAGAAAACUCCUUGCUGAACAAUGAGAAAUGCUUACACCCAUACUUAAGUCAUGCCUAUUUUUAGAAUUAAUACAAUGGGGUGCUAAGUACCUAUUAAAGGUCAGGCAACUUGUAAACUUGCCAGGACAAAAAGGUGAGAAACUUACUCAGAUAUUCUAAUCUACUCAGCUAUGAAUUCAGAAUGGGCUGUCCUUUGAAAAACAUCUACUGUGGUUGGUAGAUGUAAGAAUUUAGGGGAGGUGACAAAGGAAAAAAUUCCCUAUAUAAGGAAAAGAAAAAGUCUCUUGAGGACAGUCAGAAGAAUCCCUCUCUGGAGAAGGAUGGCUGGCUGAACUGGUGUCUAUAUUCUUGCUUGGACAGAUCCUGUGGUGAGUGAUAAAAGACUGACUGAUCUCUUUCUCAGACUCAGGUCUAGGCCAUGUUGGCUUAAGGCCCUUCAUACUUAUCCCUUUUUUACUCUUUCUCUCUUUCUUUAAUUCCUCAUUUUAUUAUAAAUUAAAUUCUCUAUAAAACCCAGUUGACUUGGGUAGAUUCAUAAUUGGGAAUAUUUCCUUGGCAACCACCUUAUAUUUGAUUUAAAACAAGACACUGUGGUGAAAACAUAUUUCCUGCGGUCACAAUUUACUCACCCACUAUUAUAUCUACUACAAUUUAUAACCUCAACCAUUUUAACUCUUACAGGUUAAGGCAUCCACUCUUUUAAUUAUCACACAGAGAACUCCUUAGAAUUUGAGAUGAUUGAAUCACAACAAAAUUUCUAGAAAAGAAAAACAAGAAUUAUUUGAGCAGAAUUUAUGACUUCUACACCAAAUAACUGGCAGAAUAGAAAAUCAUGAAGCUUUCUCAUCAAAGAAACAGAGAGAACAAUGGAUUGGGAAUAUAAGUACAGAAGUGAGCUAAGAUGGUGGUAUGAGAUGAGCAUUUUUUCUGAGCUCUCUCAACACAUCUCUCUAAAGUACUAUAAAAAGCAUGUCAAAGCAAAUGUGAGGGAAGUAACGAACAAAAGUCGCAGAAUUCUUUUUUCAGUUCAAGGCAGCUUAGGAAGAUAAAGAGGUCUACAGACAAUGGAGUAAGGGCUAGAUAACAUAUUGUAGCAGCACUGGCUAUAGGGACACUCGCAGGAGCAACCCAGCACAAAAGGACAGUAAAGAUACUGUAAACCUGGUCAGAAAGAGUGAGGAGGUGGGCACCUGGGUGACUUAAUGAAUUGAGAGCCAGGCCUAGAGUCGGGAGGUCCUAGGUUCAAAUUUGGCUUUGGACACUUUCUAGCUAUGUAAAUAAGAACAGUAUAAGAAAAAUUGGGAAAGGAAAUGAGAGCAAUACAAGAAAAUUAUGAAGAGAAUUAAUAUCUUGGUAAAAGAGAUACAAAAAUGCUGAAGAAAGUAACUUCUAAAAAAUUAGCACUGGUCAAACGAUAGGAGGCAAUUAAGUGAAAGAUGAGGACUGUUGAAAUAAAGGCCCAGUUAGAUUGGAUAACCUGAAUUUGUGAUCUUUAUAAGUAUGUGGUUUCCUUUAGCAAUGUCAAGCAGUAACAAAUUAGGAAAAAAUUUUCAUAAUAAAAACUUCUGACAAAGGCCUCAUUUCUCAAAUUUAUAAAGAACUAAGUCAAUUACAAAAAAUCUAGCCUUUCCCCAAUUGACAAAUGGUCAAGUGAUAUGAAUAGGCAGUUUUCAGAUCAAAACUCUCAGUAAGCACAUGAAAGCAUUCUAAAUCUCUUAUAAUUAGAGAAAUGCAAAUCAAAACAACACUGAGAUACCACCUCACACCUAUCAGAUUGGCCAAAACGACAUUAAAGGAAAAGAACGUUGGAGGGGAUGUGGCAAAAUUGGGACACUGAUGCAUUGUUGGUGGAGUUAUACAUUAAUCCAGUCAUUCUGGAAGGUAAUUUGGAACUAUGCCCAAAGGGCUUUAAAAGAAUGCCUGCCCUUUGAUUCAGCAAUACCACUUCUGGGUUUGUACCCCAAAGAGAUAAUAAGGAUAAAUACUUGUACAAAAAUAUUUAUAGCCAUGCAUUGUGGCAAAAAAAUGAAAAGUGAGGGGGUUAUCCUUCGAUCAGGGAAUAACUGAACAAAUUGUGGUAUAUGAUGGUGAUGGAAUACUAUUAUGCUGUUAGGAUUGAUGAUCUGGAGACUUUCCAUAUGAACUGGGAGAACCUCAAUGAACUGAUGCAAAGUGAAACAAGCAGAACCAGAAGAACAAUGUACACAGAAAAUAAAACAUGGGAAAAUCCAAUGUAAUAGACUUUGCUACUAGUAGCAAUGCAACAAGCCAGGAUACUCCUGAAGGACUUAUGUAAAAGAAUGCUCUCCACGUUGAAAGAACUAUGGGAGUAGAAAUGCAAAAGGAGAACAUAUGACAUCACUUAUCACAGGUAUAUACAAGUAAACCCAUGAAAUGGCCAAGAUCUAAACGUAGAAUCAAAACGUCUAUCAUGGAUAACAACCGCAUGAACACAACAAUAUGUCUACAGUUCUUUGCUGAAAAAUGAGCUAAAACUAUGAAUUGACUCAUUGAAAGGAGGGAUUUAUAGUGUUAAUUCAGGAUCAGGUCACCAGAAAUUUUAAAUAGAUCAUUAUCCUCAUGAUGAUCAGACUUAAGAGCAGAAAAAACUGUAGAUUGAAAAAAUCUUAGUACCUAUUGAACACCUAAUAAGACAUGUCUUGGUAGCCAGACUUGUACACCAGAAGAACCAAAAGAUAACAAAAUCAUCAUGAUACAAAUACUGACUUUUAAAUAGUUUUUGAGACUUAAUAAAAUAAGCUAUUUCAGAACCUGAGCAUUAUUACAGACAAAAUUCUUGUCCACAAUCUCCUGGAUAUAAUACUGAACCCUAAAAUUUUAAGAAUGUUUUUGAUAAAUAUCAUAAUUAAUAUGUAAAAUCUAAACAUCAUUGAAUGAAAAGCUUUUAAAAUGGAAAACCAAGUGGAAAAAAUAAGAAUCAUGUGAGAACCAGAUGUGGUAUAUCUCCAUGAUCCUAUCUGCUAUUGGAGUUUUGUCCUCAGGAUGCUCUCAGUGUUCCUAAAGAAGAUAAACAUAAUCUCACUACUUUUAAUUAUAAAAAGUAGUUAUUUUAUCUACCUAUGAAAAGUUUUAGAUAUAAAAAAUACAGGAUAGGGGGCAGCUGGGUAGCUCAGUGGAUUGAGAACCAGGCCUAGAGAUGGGAGGUCCUAGGUUCAAAUCUGGCCUCAGCCACUUCCUAGCUGUGUGACCCUGGGCAAGUCACUUGACCCCCAUUGCCUAGCCCUUACCACUCUUCUGCCUUGGAGCCAAUACACAGUAUUGGCUCCAAGACAGAAGGUAAGGGUUUUAAAAAAAAAUACAGGAUAACAGUUUGUCCUAGAACUAUUUAUCAAUCAGUCAACAUUGAAUGAAUGCCUACUUUGUGACAAGAACUGUGCUUAGCACUAAGAAUACAAAAAAGGGGGGGGGGGCAAAGAUAGUCCUUCCCCCAAAGAGCUCAUAAUUUAAUGGAUUUCUAUUUUUUUAAAAAAGAUGAGAAUGGAUUAAAUACUUGUAGAUAUUUAUAAAGUGCUUUAAAGUCUGCAAUGUGCUUUUUUAAAUAGAGGGGACAAAUAGGGAAGCUCCCAGCUGCAGGGCCCUGAGCCACUUCUGCUAUGUCCUGAGUGCCAAAGGACUUGGUACUUUAGGCUGAUGCAGCAAACCUUAGUUGGUCCUUCUGUGUCCCCCAUAAUGGCUCCAUCUAUGGGAGACUGUGUUUAUUUAAACCCUUAUGUUAAGAUUAAAAUUCUCUGGAAAGUGUAUCCUAAUUUUAAUUAGCCACAUGUGGCCAACUGUUCCCUUCAGAAGCCUCCUCUCCCAGUUGGCUGCACUACUUUUACAGGCAGACCUCAGGUAUGAGGUGCUCUCAAGGCCAGCCUCCAAUCUCUACAGUGUCAUGCAUGUGCUGGGGCUCCCCUAGCCAGAACUCACCGGUACUGGUGCGGGUGCUCUCCUAGCCACCCCAACUCCCACCCCAGCCAAGUAUGUCAGCACUCUCCUGGCCACUUUUUGCUCAGCAGUCAGUCCCAAGAUAAAAGAGAGCUACUUCCUUUCUUAAGUCCAAUUUAUGUUUCUCCUAUCAUCCCUUUUCUGAGCCUCUCUGAUUUGGCAGACUCCGACUUCAGUCCAGAUCAGAGGUGGUCUUCUAGAUGCCAGGAGUCACCAAGUGGUCCCUAGAAUAGUGCACAGCACAGGUACAGUGCCAACUAGCAUUGGAGGGAAGACACUUCCCAUCCCCUCAGAGAUACAGUUCAUAGGUUCAGAAGUAAGAUCCUUUAUUUAAAAAUCCAAAGUCAUCACACUUAACUUCUGUCUUAGAAUGAAUGGUAUCAGCUCUAAGAUAGAAGAAGGGUUGGGGCUAGACAACUGGGGUUGAGUGACUUGUCAAGGGUCACACAACUGGAAGCAUCUGAGGGCACAUUUGACCCCAGGACCUCCCAAUACCAGGCCUGGAUCUAUCCACUGAGCAACCUAGCUGCCCUGGCAUAUCAGUUUAAAAAGAGAGUUUCCACUUUCUCUUCCAUGUUAGUUUGGAAAUCUCUAUCCCUUGUACCUCUUGGAGUGGCUGUAAAGGGGCAAUCUUCCUCCUCCUUGGCAAAAAUUUCAACUGCUCACAUGUGGAGCAGGUAUUCAUCCAGGCGAUCCUGAGCUGGGGUUUCAAUUGCUGCUGCCUCUUGUUUUUUUUCUUGAGCAUAUGCACACAAUCAGCGAUCCUGAGAUAGAGGUUUCUACCCUUGAACGAAACCUUGUGAAUUUGAGAUGCCAGGAGCUCCUGGGUCUCUUUGCCAGUGCUGUCUGAACUAAAGGAUGUGCCUUUUAUAGCUACUACUUUUUCUUGGAGGAGGUGACCUCCCACAGGAGAAUGAGCACAGUCACUGGUCUGAUUUGCCCAAUAUAGACUUUGAUGGAAUUUUUUGGAAAGUACAGAACUGAGAGGUAAAGGUGAAAUGUUUAUUCAGCAGUCUCACUAAAUACUUCAUGUUUUAAUACUUUAAAUACCAACUUCUUGUGAGAGUAAAAUAGCAUUAAUUCAUUUAAAAUUCUUACCUUCCAUUUUAGAAUCAAUACUGUUCCAAGGCAGAAGAGUGGUAAGGGCUAAACAAUGGGGGUUAAGUGACUUGCCCAGAAUCACAUAGCUAGGAAGCAUCUCUGGCCACAUUUGGACACGGGACCUCCCCUCUCUAGGCCUGGUUCUCAAUCUACUGAGCCACCUAACUGCCCCCCUAAAACAGUAUUUAUAAGUGAUUGUGUUUUAUGUUUGUCUUUUUUUCAUUUUUAUUUUUUAAAAAAACCCUUAUCUUCUGUCUUAGAAUCAAUACUGUGUAUUGGUUCUAAGGCACAAGAGUGGUAAGGGCUAGGCAAUGGGGAUUAAAUGACUUGCCCAGGGUCACACAGCUGGAAAGAGUCUGAGGCCGGAUUUAAACCCAGGACCUCCCAUCUCUAGGCCUGGUUCUCAAUCCACUGUUUCUUUUUUCAAUGCAUGUUUAUGAAUCUUUUAAGAAUUACUUUUGUGUAGGAAAUAAACAUCUGUCAUGCUCAAUC